CCUUCGAUAGCUCAGUUGGUAGAGCGGAGGACUGUAGAUCCUUAGGUCGCUGGUUCGAAUCCGGCUCGAAUCCGGCUCGAAGGA